rnacentral:rRNA from 1 species
GACGUAGGGCGCGAGCGUUGUCCGGAUUUAUUGGGCGUAAAGAGCUCGUAGGCGGCUUGUCGCGUCGUCCGUGAAAACCAGGGGCUCAACCCCUGGCUUGCGGUCGAUACGGGCAGGCUAGAGUUCGUAGGGGAGACUGGAAUUCCGUGGUGUGCGGUGAAAUGCGCAGAUAUCAGGAGGAACACCGGUGGCGAAGGCGGGUCUCUGGGCAGUAACUGACGCUGAGGAGCGAAAGCGUGGGUAGCAAACAGG